rnacentral:tRNA from 3 species
GGGCCCGUAGCUCAGUGGUUAGAGCGGUCGGCUCAUAACCGAUUGGUCGCAGGUUCGAUCCCUGCCGGGCCCACCA